CAGCCGCCGCGGUAAUACAUAGGGUGCGAGCGUUAUCCGGAUUUAUUGGGCGUAAAGGGUGUGUAGGCUGUUUAUUAAGUAUGAAAUCAAAGCCCGAGGCUCAACCUCGGUUCGUUUCAUAAACUGAUAGACUUGAGUAUGGUAGAGGCAAAUGGAAUUUCUAGUGUAGCGGUAAAAUGUGUAGAUAUUAGAAGGAACAUCAGUGGCGAAGGCGAUUUGCUGGGCCAUUACUGACGCUGAGACACGAAAGCGUGGGGAGCAAAUAGGAUUAGAUACCCUAGUAGUCCACGCCGUAAACGAUGAGUACUAAGUGUCGGAAUUAUUCGGUGCUGAAGUUAACACAUUAAGUACUCCGCCUGAGUAGUACAGUCGCAAGACCGAAACUCAAAGGAAUUGACGGGCACCCGCACAAGCGGUGGAGCAUGCUGUUUAAUUCGAAGAUACGCGAAGAACCUUACCUAGACUUGACAUGCUGAUGAUCGAUUUAGAAAUAAAUCUUUCCCUUCGGGGACAUCAGACACAGGUGGUGCAUGGCC
rnacentral:rRNA from 1 species